GACGAACGCUGGCGGCGUGCUUGACACAUGCAAGUCGAACGGAAAGGCCUGCUUUCCCUUGUGGAUUGCGGGUACUCGAGUGGCGAACGGGUGAGUAACACGUGAGUGAUCUGCCCCCAACUUGGGUAUAAGCCUGGGAAACUGGGUCUAAUUCCCGAUAGGACUGCAGGGUGGUGCCUGUGGUGGAAAACGAUUUUCUAGUGGUUGGGGAUGAGCUCGCGGCCUAUCAGCUUGUUGGUGGGGUAAUGGCCUACCAAGGCGGCGACGGGUAGCCGGCCUGGGAGGGUGGACGGCCACAUUGGGACUGAGAUACGGCCCAGACUGCUACGGGAGGCAGCAGUGGGGAAUAUUGCACAAUGGGCGGAAGCCUGAUGCAGCGACGCCGCGUGGGGGAUGACGGGCUUCGGGUUGUAAACUCCUUUCGACCGCGAGGAAGCCACCUGGUUGGAAGGGUGGUGACGGUAGUGGUAGAAGAAGCACCGGCUAACUACGUG
rnacentral:rRNA from 1 species